rnacentral:rRNA from 1 species
GUCUUCGAGUCGUUGAUUUCACACUGCCGAGAAAAGCCUCUAGAUAGAAAAUAGGUGCCCGUACCGCAAACCGACACAGGUAGUCAAGAUGAGAAUUCUAAGGUGAGCGAGCGAACUCUCGUUAAGGAACUCGGCAAAAUGACCCCGUAACUUCGGGAGAAGGGGUGCUCUUUAGGGUUAACGCCCAGAAGAGCCGCAGUGAAUAGGCCCAAGCGACUGUUUAUCAAAAACACAGGUCUCUGCUAAACCGUAAGGUGAUGUAUAGGGGCUGACGCCUGCCCGGUGCUGGAAGGUUAAGAGGAGUGGUUAGCUUCUGCGAAGCUACGAAUCGAAGCCCCAGUAAACGGCGGCCGUAACUAUAACGGUCCUAAGGUAGCGAAAUUCCUUGUCGGGUAAGUUCCGACCCGCACGAAAGGCGUAACGAUUUGGGCACUGUCUCAACGAGAGACUCGGUGAAAUCAUAGUACCUGUGAAGAUGCAGGUUACCCGCGACAGGACGGAAAGACCCCGUGGAGCUUUACUGUAGCCUGAUAUUGAAAUUCGGCACAGCUUGUACAGGAUAGGUAGGAGCCUUUGAAACGUGAGCGCUAGCUUACGUGGAGGCGCUGGUGGGAUACUACCCUAGCUGUGUUGGCUUUCUAACCCGCACCACUUAUCGUGGUGGGAGACAGUGUCAGGCGGGCAGUUUGACUGGGGCGGUCGCCUCCUAAAAGGUAACGGAGGCGCUCAAAGGUUCCCUCAGAAUGGUUGGAAAUCAUUCAUAGAGUGUAAAGGCAUAAGGGAGCUUGACUGCGAGACCUACAAGUCGAGCAGGGUCGAAAGACGGACUUAGUGAUCCGGUGGUUCCGCAUGGAAGGGCCAUCGCUCAACGGAUAAAAGCUACCCCGGGGAUAACAGGCUUAUCUCCCCCAAGAGUUCACAUCGACGGGGAGGUUUGGCACCUCGAUGUCGGCUCAUCGCAUCCUGGGGCUGUAGUCGGUCCCAAGGGUUGGGCUGUUCGCCCAUUAAAGCGGUACGCGAGCUGGGUUCAGAACGUCGUGAGACAGUUCGGUCCCUAUCCGUCGUGGGCGUAGGAAAUUUGAGAGGAGCUGUCCUUAGUACGAGAGGACCGGGAUGGACAUACCUCUGGUGUACCAGUUGUCGUGCCAACGGCAUAGCUGGGUAGCUAUGUGUGGACGGGAUAAGUGCUGAAAGCAUCUAAGCAUGAAGCCCCCCUCAAGAUGAGAUUUCCCAACUUCGGUUAUAAGAUCCCUCAAAGAUGAUGAGGUUAAUAGGUUCGAGGUGGAAGCAUGGUGACAUGUGGAGCUGACGAAUACUAAUCGAUCGAAGACU